rnacentral:rRNA from 1 species
CUUUGCCAACCCUUGGGUUGGGCCGAGUGGCGAACGGGUGAGUAAUAACAUCGGAACAUGUCCUGUAGUGGGGGAUAGCCCGGCGAAAGCCGGAUUAAUACCGCAUACGAUCUACGGAUGAAAGCGGGGGACCUUCGGGCCUCGCGCUAUAGGGUUGGCCGAUGGCUGAUUAGCUAGUUGGUGGGGUAAAGGCCUACCAAGGCGACGAUCAGUAGCUGGUCUGAGAGGACGACCAGCCACACUGGGACUGAGACACGGCCCAGACUCCUACGGGAGGCAGCAGUGGGGAAUUUUGGACAAUGGGCGAAAGCCUGAUCCAGCAAUGCCGCGUGUGUGAAGAAGGCCUUCGGGUUGUAAAGCACUUUUGUCCGGAAAGAAAUCCUUGGCUCUAAUACAGUCGGGGGAUGACGGUACCGGAAGAAUAAGCACCGGCUAACUACGUGCCAGCAGCCGCGGUAAUACGUAGGGUGCGAGCGUUA